rnacentral:rRNA from 1 species
UACGUAGGUGGCAAGCGUUUGUCCGGAUUUACUGGGCGUAAAGAGCGCGCAGGCGGUCGGAUCAGUCGAAUGUGAAAGCCCCCGGCUCAACUGGGGAGGGUCAUUCGAUACUGUCCGACUCGAAGGCAGGAGAGGGAAGCGGAAUUCCCGGUGUAGUGGUGAAAUGCGUAGAUAUCGGGAGGACACCAGAGGCGAAGGCGGCCGACUGGGCUGUACCUGACGCUGAGGCGCGAAAGCGUGGGGAGC